CCUGCCUGACGGCCGGACGGUCCGCGCGUGCGCAGGGGGCGGCGAAGGUCGCCGGCGGCGCUUGGAUCUCGCUCCCGGGAGGGACCCCGUCGGGGAGGAGAGAUCCUAGGUGAUGUCUAGGCUCAACAGGCCGACCUAGACUCCUCUAAUCGAUGUAGAGCCGAAGAGAAGCGGAGAAUUUGGGGAUUGGAAUACUAAACUAGAGCUAAACUAGAGCUACUUUUAAUGCAUAAGGUAAAAACGAGAAAUAGACUUGAGUUAAUCGAUUGUUGGGGGGUCCAAUCGGCCGUAGCCCUUCAUCUAUAUAAAGGGGGAGGUCUGGAUCCGCUUCAAACUGAUUUCUGAGUUAAUCCCGCGGUUUUAGGUAACAAAUCCCGCGAGAAACUAGGAACCCUAACUGACUCUGCGCACGCGCGGACCGUCCGCGCCACCACCACGGACUGUCCGGACCGCGGACCGUCCGGCCUCGGGGCCGGACCGUCCGCACUGCUCUUUUUAGCGUUCAACAUAUGCCCCCCUACCUUUUGGUGAAGGUUGAUGAACCAAAAGCAUAUGAACUAAACCUGAUGUAAGUCAUCGGCUUUUCAACAUGGAGAUCAUUCAAUAAAGCACCAAUGUAUAAAGGCCGUUUCAGAUUGUAUCCUUCUCGGCCAUGACCAUUUGGUCAAUGGAUCAAAAGGAAUAGAAUGGAGGUGCCCCCCAGUCUGGAUAGACAAAGGGACUAUACAUGUACCAUGGAUUCAUCUUUAUACCAUUCCAUGUUUGAACAGAAUAAUAUAACGAUGAUGAGUAAACGGGUGGAAAGUACCCUAGUCUCAUAGGAUGAAUAGGCGAUGCUUGUUGUGUCGCCUUUCGGGCCGUUUUGUUUACUCGUUUCGUCUUAGCAAGUGACCGGGGUUUCUUCGCUGACCGAUCACGUAGAACAGUCUUCUUGCUAGUAUCCUUGGAGAGCAACUGAUCAAAAGUAGGGUCGGCUAUGUGUUCUGCCCUUGCGUCUCCUUCCCUUUUAAAGCUUUGUGUGGAGGCUGACGUCUUUGGCCAUAGGCGGACUGUCCGGCAGAGUUAGCCGGACCGUCUGUCUGAGCACCGGACCGUCCGCACGUAUGUGCCAGCCCGUCCGUGAUGCUCAGGCCAGGCUAUUGUGCUUGGCUCAUUAAUUGUGCUUGCCCCCCGGUGCCUCCGGACUUUUUAGCCUUAUCGUCCGGAGCCUUUCGAGCAAUCUCUUUUUGUGAUAGAUUUGAUAUGCGAGGAUCGCCAAUGAGGAUGUCUUUGCUUUUGCCUUUAUCGGCUAUUUCGGGCCGAACUAAGAUCUUUUUGCAUGCGAUAUCUAUUGUAUUAACAGGAAAUGGUUGUGUGUCCACUUGCAUCUCCUGAAAAGCCAACCGGCCCUCAUUUAUGGCCGAUUGUACCUGCCGACAAAAAACAUUACAGUCAUUGGUGGCAUGGGAAAAAGAAUUAUGCCACUUACAAUAAGCACGCCUCUUUAAUUCAUCUAUAGGAGGGAUAUUAUGAGUUAAUUUAAUGUUGCCAUUUUUAAGUAGCUCAUCAAAUAUCUUAUCGCAUUUGGCAACAUUAAAGGUAAAUUUAAUCUCUUCUUCCCGAUUCUUUUGAACCGGCUGUAAGGAAGAACAUGCUGAAGAUUUGGCCUUUGUUGGCCAAAUAAACUCAGCGGUAUAUACAUCUGUGGAUUCAUCAUCUGAACUAUCACGCUCUAUUAGAUGUAUAGUACGGGCGGCCGAUUUUGAUGUCUCUUUAAAUCGGCUUUCACAGGCUAAAGCCUGCUGAUGUAGCUGGGCUAUCGAAAAGAACUGGGUUCCAUCUAAUUUGUCUCUUAAGUAGGAUAGCAACCCAUUAAAAACUAGCCCUGCUAGCUCUUUGUCUGCAACAUGGAUCCGAAAGCAUCGGUUUCUAGUGUCCCAGAACCUCCGGAUAUAAUCAUUAACCGAUUCUUCGCGUCCUUGUCGGACUGAAGCUAAGUCAGCUAAUCCUAAUUCAUAUUCUCCGGCAAAGAAAUGUUCAUGAAAUUUAUUUUCUAACUCAUUCCAGGAAUUAAUGGAAUUAGGAGGCAGGGCGGCGUACCAUGCAAAAGCGGUACCAGUAAGGGAUAAAGAAAAUAACCGAACACGAAAUGCUUCUCCAUUAGCCAAUUUGCCUAGGUGUGCUAGGAACUGGCCUAUGUGUUCGUAUGUGCUUCUCCCAUUCUCACCAGAAAACUUAGAAAAUUCCGGUAUCCUUGACCCUUGUGGAUAUGGGACAGUGUCAAACCGGUGAUUAUAUGGCUUUUGGUAUGAUUGCCCUACUCUGGCUACAUUAACUCCGAACUUAUCUCGAAAUAGUUCAGUCAUCUCUUCCCUAAUUUUUUCCAUUGCACCCGGUGGUAGACCACCGGAUCCUGGGCUGUGGGGCUCAUUUGGUCGGGUAUUAGUAUACCGACCUUCUUGCCGUGACCGAUCGAUAGUGUUGAUCGGUUUGUGAUUGUAUGGUGCAUUAUGGUUUAAAUAUGUAGAGGACGAAAUAUAUUGUUGUUGUGGUGUGUAAUAAUUUGGUGCAUGGUGUGCAACAGCAGGUUCUGCAUAUGUGUAUCCGGUUUGUACGGUGGUACAUCCGAACUGGCCGGUCGUGUUCGCAAUUAUUGGGGCGCCACGCGGUAGUCCUGGUAUGGCCCGGAUUGUCCGACAUAGAAAGCCGAACGGUCCGCGUAAGGGUCGGACGGUCCGGGUAGCAGCUCGGACGGUCCGACCGCGUCCAGGGUCGCCGAUCUGCCAAGCAGGGACGGCGGCGGUCCUAGGGCGGCCCCGGACUGCCCGGCAGAGCAAGCCGGAUGGUCCGCGUAUGGGCCGGAUGGUCCGGGCAGAAGCUCGGACAGUCCGACCGUAUUCAGGGGCGCCGAUCUGCCAAGCAGGGAUGGCGGUGGUGGUACUUGCCCUGGAUAUGAGUUCAUCGGCAUACCAUAUAAUGGUUGGGGCUGCAAAUCCCUAUUUGUUGCCGAUGUAUUAGACAUAGAUAUCCUGUUACUAGUCUCAUAUGAUGGAAAACUAGGAGCAACAGACUUCUCCAACGUAUGCGUUAAUUUUCUAAUUGACUCUUCUAACCCUCCAAUCUGUUGUUUCAUUUGAUUCUGCUGAUGAUCUACAUACUGUUUAAUAAAUUGGAUGUCGUCGGGUUUACUUACGUUGGGGACUUGAAGCGAAGAUAGAAGAGAUGCGACGUCGGUCUCUCCAUGUUUGACAACUUUCUGGUGGCGAUCCACCGUGUAUUGUGAUAAGAAUUUCUCCUUCGCUUGACACAUGUAGUCCUUGUAUUGUUGUUGCUCAUCGGUCGUCAGACUUUCAACAGCCGGCUUUAGGAUAUUGUCCGGGGAGAUAUCGGUGUGAUCUUUAGAACCGACCAUUUGAGGGCCUGAUUUUUAGUAGAUCUAAACACCUUCCCCAGCGGAGUCGCCAAAAGUAUGUUGGUGCCUUUUUGGGGCGCCAAUCACUCAAUACGAAUCGUGGCGGUGCUCUCUGCACAGGCGCGGACGGUCCGCGGCCAGGGGCCGGACGGUCCGCGACCUGGAACAGGGGCCUGGGUUCCCUGCCUGACGGCCGGACGGUCCGCGCGUGCGCAGGGGGCGGCGCCUGGAUCUCGCUCCCGGGAGGGACCCCAUCGGGGAGGAGAGAUCCUAGGUGAUGUCUAGGCUCGGCAGGCCGACCUAGACUCUUCUAAUCGACGUAGAGCCGAAGAGAAGCGGAGAAUUUGGGGAUUGGAAUACUAAACUAGAGCUAAACUAGAGCUACUUCUAAUGCAUAAGGUAAAAACGAGAAAUAGACUUGAGUUAAUCGAUUGUUGGGGGGUCCAAUCGGCCGUAGCCCUUCA
rnacentral:lncRNA from 1 species